rnacentral:tRNA from 1 species
GGGGGCAGCUCAGUGGCAGGGCGCUGGUUCACCACGGCCAGGGCCCUGGGUUCGAGUCCCAGGACCACA